rnacentral:lncRNA from 1 species
GUAGUAAUAAUAAUAAUUCUAUUAAUAAUAAAUUAUAAUAAUAAUAAUAGUAGUAGUAAUAAUAAUAAUAAAAAAAUAGUAAUAAUAAUAAUAUUAUUAAUAAUGCCAAAUUCAAAAAAAGAAAACAAAUGGAGAGAAAAAUCAGGGCAGUAGAAAGAGGGACAGAGGAACUAAAAGAGGGUAGUCAAGGGUGAGUAAAUGGGGAAAGGAAAGGAAGAAGGAACGAGCAAAACGAGGAAAUAGAAGGAGAAAGGGAAAUACAGAAAUUUUGGAUGAAAAGGGUAAAGUUGCCUAUUUUGAGGGGAUUGAUCGAGAGGAAUGGAUAUCAAAGAGCAAAGAAAUUUUUUGAGAUCAAAAAUGUGGUAGCAAGGGAAAAAUUAAGAUUGGCCUACAUUAGCAUAUAUAACAAAUGACGAGGCAAUAUUACAUACCCCUAAUGCUUAUUUGCGUAAGGAAGAUAAACAUAUAUAAGCUUUAAGAAGCUUGUGGAUUAUCUUAUCAAUAGGUAUCUUCACAUCAUCACAAUGACGAUAUAACAAAUGACGAGGCAAUAUUACAUACCCCUAAUGCUUAUUUGCGUAAGGAAGAUAAACAUAUAUAAGCUUUAAGAAGCUUGUGGAUCAUCUUAUCAAUAGGUAUCUUCACAUCAUCACAAUGACUCGUCAGCCAUGGAUGACCUGUGCAUAAAAUAAAGCUAUGAGCAAGAAUUCAUAGGAUUAUAAAAUGCACAAAGCUUUUAUAAUUCUUCAGAUUAUAAAAGCUAUGAAUUGCUGCUGAAACAGUAAUUACAGCUGCUGGAACGUGAUUCUUUAGCUGCUGUUAAGCCUUUCUUCUUGCUUCACUUUCAAUCCCCUAACCACUUCCUAGAAGGCUACCAUAAUAGGAGAGGUUUUCUGCUUCUGGAUGGCUCAAUUAGACUGCACACAUACUCCAAAAAUUCACCAGAAACAUCACAAACAGAUUUAAAAAUCUGCAUAAGAAUUCUGCACUCCAAGUGGCUGGAACAACAGUUUAGAGGCCAAAAAAUUGAUGAAUUCAAAUGGAACAGCAACCAAUAACAACAGGCACUCUAAAUGAACCUAAGAAUAGCACUAGAGUGGAUUAAGAAAGCAAUAAAAACGCAANCACAGUUCAGAAUUCAUGCCAAAUGCAAACUGUUUGAUAAUUUCCAAAACUGUUUGAUAAAAUGUCCCAAAGAGUUUCAGAUUUUGUGUUUUUAACUUUGGGGACUUGUAAACUGGAUUGAUUGGUUCUCUAAGCUUUUUAACACUUGAUAUUUGUUUUUUUAUUCAUUCAUUUUCAUUCUAAAUCAUAGAACCAGCUUUUUCCAAUCUAAAAAGAAAUGAAAUCUNCACAAGACUAUCAAACAGUGCUGGAAAACCGUGACUGCAUCAAGAAAUUCACAUUGAUUUUGGUGGUUUGAAUUCCAAUUUCGAAUGAAACUGUUUGGAACUCACAAUAAACAGUUCAAGCAACUUUCAAUGCUAGAACUACCUCUGCCUAAAUCUAAAGCUAAGUCUACUCUUGACAAUUCUAAUCUAAGGAAAUGAAGCUAAAAACGAGUGAAAUCAGCAAGGAAUGAGNAAAAGCAUAAAACAGAACCUAAAAGCUCCUAGAAAGACUAACCAUGAUUACCUAAGCUAUUUACAAUCUAAACAACUAAGACAAA